UGAAAUGUGACACAACACGAAAUACGUCGCUCCCUUUAUAUAUAGAGAGAUAUAUAGAGUUGUAUGUAACUAUGUAUCGGUAUUUAAUAUAGUCAUAAUUUGUUAGUCAUACAACGCUCAAACUCAAAUGUACCAAAUUUGUUCUUUAGUGUACUAAAUGAAAAACUGAUAGGCCGGUAUAUUACUUUAUUGUUUUUACAAAGAACAAAAUCUCUCAUGCACCUUGGUCAAGUGCCACGACUACCCUGUACUGUAACCUCCCACCGCUCUCCUCCAAUCAAACAAAAACUAAUUUCUUGACCCUUUUCUGCUGAAUUCACCAGCAGGGUAUAGUAGUAAAAUCAGAUCAAAACGAAAGUUGAAGCUGAUAGGUGUAACCAUGCAUGCAAAGCUAACCUCUUUCUCCCUCUCCCCUUCUCCCACCUACACUAACAUACCUCAAUAAAUAAUAAAAACAACUUCUAUUUACUCUCUCUCUCUCUCUCUCUCUCUCUAUAUAUAUAUAUAUAUAUAUAUAUAUAUAUAUAUAUAUAUAUACAUACAAACAAACAUAUACAUAUACAUAUAUGUAUAUGCAUUCUAUUUUAACAUUUCACACUCCCUAUAUUACAUAUAUCAUUAUAUAUAUUAUUAAUUAAUAUUCUGUCGAUGCCCCUUAAGCAAAAUCUCAAAUUCGAGUAUUAUAAAUCGAGAGAACGAUGUUAAGAAAAUCUCCUCACUCGAAUCUUAAUUAGUCGGGCCCUAAUAAUUGUUGGACAUCAAGGAGGUGAGAACUAAAUCAAAAUAAUAAAAAAAAUGCAUUAUCUAAUUUCGGUCAUGUCUGCAUGGACAAAUAUAAAAUCCUGAUGUCCCAUCUGUAAGUCCCUAAACACGUAGCCACCAUACAAAAUCCAAGUGUCCUCUCCUCCUCUUUUCUCACAUCAUGUUGCCUUCUUCUCAUUGGCUCUAACUCACCCUUAAAAGUCCCACCCCCUCCUCCUCUUCCCUUCCAAUCCCCACCACCGCUCCUCAUUUCUCACCAACUCCUUUUCACU
rnacentral:lncRNA from 1 species